UACGUAGGGUGCGAGCGUUGUCCGGAAUUAUUGGGCGUAAAGAGCUCGUAGGCGGCUUGUCGCGUCGGAUGUGAAAGCCCGGGGCUUAACCCCGGGUCUGCAUUCGAUACGGGCAGGCUAGAGUUCGGUAGGGGAGAUCGGAAUUCCUGGUGUAGCGGUGAAAUGCGCAGAUAUCAGGAGGAACACCGGUGGCGAAGGCGGAUCCCUGGGCCGAUACUGACGCUGAGGAGCGAAAGCGUGGGGAGCGAACAGG
rnacentral:rRNA from 1 species